AAUCUACUCUCUCCAAUCCAUAUCGCUUGGCUUAGAUUUUUCUAGAUACGGAUGUAUCUAGACAUGUUUUAGUGUUAGAAACAUCUGUAUCUAGACACUAAGACGAGUCAUAUGGAUUGGAGGGAGUAUUUU
rnacentral:pre_miRNA from 1 species